GACGAACGCUGGCGGCGUGCCUAACACAUGCAAGUCGAACGGGGUAAUUUCUUCGGAGAUUACUUAGUGGCGAACGGGUGAGUAACGCGUGAGAAACCUGCCUUUCAGUGGGGGACAACAGUUGGAAACGACUGCUAAUACCGCAUAAUGUUAUUUGGGGGCAUCCCCGAAUAACCAAAGCUUUAUGUGCUGAAAGAUGGUCUCGCGUCUGAUUAGCUAGAUGGCGGGGUAACGGCCCACCAUGGCGACGAUCAGUAGCCGGUCUGAGAGGAUGAACGGCCACAUUGGGACUGAGAUACGGCCCAGACUCCUACGGGAGGCAGCAGUGGGGAAUAUUGGGCAAUGGGGGAAACCCUGACCCAGCAACGCCGCGUGAAGGAAGAAGGCCUUCGGGUUGUAAACUUCUUUUACCAGGGACGAAGAACGUGACGGUACCUGGAGAAAAAGCAACGGCUAACUACGUGCCAGCCGCCGCCGUAAUAC
rnacentral:rRNA from 1 species